GAUGAACGCUAGCGGCAGGCUUAAUACAUGCAAGUCGAGGGGCAGCAGCUUUAUAGCAAUAUAGAGGCUGGCGACCGGCAAACGGGUGCGGAACACGUACACAACCUUCCUUGAAUAGGGGGAUAGCCCAUAGAAAUGUGGAUUAAUACCCCGUAAUAUAGCGGUGUGGCAUCACACCGUUAUUAUAGUUUCGGCGAUUCGAGAUGGGUGUGCGGCUGAUUAGGUAGUUGGCGGGGUAAAGGCCCACCAAGCCUUCGAUCAGUAGCUGAUGUGAGAGCAUGAUCAGCCACACGGGCACUGAGACACGGGCCCGACUCCUACGGGAGGCAGCAGUAAGGGAUAUUGGUCAAUGGACGCAAGUCUGAACCAGCCAUGCCGCGUGAAGGAUGAAGGUCCUCUGGAUUGUAAACUUCUUUUAUAGGGGGCGAAAAAAGGUCUUUCUAGAUCACUUGACAGUACCCUAUGAAUAAGCACCGGCUAACUCC
rnacentral:rRNA from 1 species